AACGAACGCUGGCGGCAGGCCUAACACAUGCAAGUCGAGCGGACCUUUCGGGGUCAGCGGCGGUCGUGUGAGUAACGCGUGGGAAUAUGCCCUUCUCUACGGAAUCGUCCUGUGAAACUUGGGGUAAUACCGUAUACGCCCUUUGGGGGUAAGAUUUCUCGGUGAAGGAUUAGCCCGCGUUGGUUUAGGUAGUUGGUGGGGUACUGGCCUACCAAGCCGACGAUGCAUAGCUGGUUUGAGAGGAGGAUCAACCACACUGGGACUGAGACACGGCCCAGACUCGGAGGGGAGGGAGGAGAGGGGAAUAUUAGACAAGGGGGGCAAAUGUGGUCAAGCCAUGUCGGGGGAGAGAUGAAGGCGUUAGGGUUGUAAAGCUGUUUCAGCUGGGAAGAGAAUGACGGUAACAGCAGAAGAAGCCCCGGCUAACUCCGUG
rnacentral:rRNA from 1 species